rnacentral:rRNA from 1 species
UGGGGAAUCUUGCACAAUGGGCGAAAGCCUGAUGCAGCGACGCCGCGUGGGGGAUGAAGCAUUUCGGUGUGUAAACCCCUUUCGACCGGGAAGAAUGCCUCGCAAGAGGACUGACGGUACCGGUAGAAGAAGCCCCGGCUAACUACGUGCCAGCAGCCGCGGUAAGACGUAGGGGGCCAGCGUUGUUCGGAAUUACUGGGUGUAAAGGGUUCGUAGGCGGUGUGGCAAGUUGGGAGUGAAAUCUCUGGGCUUAACCCAGAGNNUGCUUCCAAAACUGCUGUGCUUGAGUGUGGGAGAGGUGCGUGGAAUUGCAGGUGUAGCGGUGAAAUGNGUAGAUAUCUGCAGGAACACCCGUGGCGAAAGCGGCGCACUGGACCACAACUGACGCUGAGGAACGAAAGCUAGGGGAGCAAACAGGAUUAGAUACCCUGGUAGUCCUAGCCCUAAACGAUGACAACUAGAUGUUGGGAGGGNCUGCCUCUCGGUGUCGCAGCUAACGCGUUAAGUUGUCCGCCUGGGGAGUACGGCCGCAAGGUU